GUUCUGCCUGAGUCACAAAUGAAAUAUUGGAUCUCUGGGCCAUAUUGACUCACAGGGCUCCUGUGACUCCAUCACACUGAAUCCACAGACCGAAGAAGAGAAAGCAGCCCACAGCCCAGAAUGUCUGCCACGUGGUCCUAUUUAAAAGAAAGGAAAGAGCAUUAUGCCUUAAAAAAUGCUGUUCUGCCAAUAAUCACUACAGGAAACUUUGCUUCUGAUGACUGCAGAGACCAUGGACUGCUCAGUCUCUCACUGUUACACAAACCCUCACCUUGCUUAGAAACUGGAGCAACUCCUCAAAAAAAAAAAAAGAAAAAAAAAAAGGAAGAAGCAAGCUAUCAGCAGCCGAGCUCCUCCUUUUUAACCUUUCCACGGGGAGUUUCCCAGGUAACUGUCAACAAAGGAUAUCUGCACAGUACCUCUAUAUUGGAUAUUAGGAGAAAUUUCUCGGAGUGGCGGUGCAGUGGCUCAGGCUGCCCAUGGAGGUGGUGGAGUCACCAACCCUGGAGGUGCUCAAGGAAUGUGUAGAUGUGGCACUGAGGAACAUGGUUAGUAGGCAUGAGUUAAUGGUUGGACUAGAAGACCUCAGUGCUCUGUUCCAACCUUGAUGAUUCUAUGAUUCUAAAUAAGUAUUUUUCUACAUUAAUGCGAUUGAAGCAUUGACAAUGUUAUGAGCUUGUUCAGCUGGGUUUGAGCUCCUUUGGAUGGGGUUGGUUGAAAGGUUUAAAAGCAGACAUCUCUGAAUGCAGCAGGUUAAAAACGUGCCUCUUAACCAUGGCUAAACUGUGCACUGUUUGAAAGCAACUGAAAAACAAUAGGUCAAUAAAAGCUCAGAUCACUUGAAAUUACCUACAUCUAUCCUUACGUUUUCUUACUAAUUAGAAAAAAUCCUUUCUUGCUAGAAGGGUGGACUGGUAUCUGUAUCCUUACUAAUUGAGAAAGAUGUGCUAAUCUCUUAUUCCAGCUUGAAAACAGAAUAAAAGGCAACAACUAAUGAUGAGGAGUUGCUUGUGUACUGGAUGAACAGAGCAGGUUGAGGAACAAUCUAAGAGUGAUGGGAUAAGAAUUCACAAGGGAUCCAUCACCACUUGCUGUCAUCUUCAAGGCUUUGUUUGACAGACACCAUUAAAACUGUGCUCAUCGUUGUGGUACAAUGGGCAUGUGGGUUAUGGAAUGACCAGUAUCUUUGUUAUCUGUCACAAACACAACCCUGACCACUUGGGACUCAAAGAGAAAGUGUGAAGUGUUGAGGUACCAAAAUCUAUUGGAGCUCAAGGGAAGGGUGGUGAAAUCCAAAUUAUCAUAUAGACUAUUUUGAGUAGGAAGGAACACAUAAAGAC
ensembl:lncRNA